rnacentral:rRNA from 1 species
CCUACGGGAGGCAGCAGUGGGGAAUAUUGGGCAAUGGAGGGAACUCUGACCCAGCGACGCCGCGUGCGGGAUGAAGGCCUUCGGGUUGUAAACCGCUUUCAGCAAGGAAGAAGCGAAAGUGACGGUACUUGCAGAAGAAGCACCGGCUAACUAUGUGCCAGCAGCCGCGGUAAUACAUAGGGUGCAAGCGUUGUCCGGAAUUAUUGGGCGUAAAGAGCUCGUAGGUGGUUCGUCACGUCGGAUGUGAAAAUCUGGGGCUUAACCCCAGACCUGCAUUCGAUACGGGCGAGCUAGAGUGUGGUAGGGGAGACUGGAAUUCCUGGUGUAGCGGUGGAAUGCGCAGAUAUCAGGAGGAACACCAAUGGCGAAGGCAGGUCUCUGGGCCAUUACUGACACUGAUGAGCGAAAGCGUGGGGAGCGAACAGGAUUAGAUACCCUGGUAGUCCACGCCGUAAACGGUGGGCACUAGUUGUGGGAACCUUCCACGGUUUCUGCGACGCAGCUAACGCAUUAAGUGCCCCGCCUGGGGAGUACGAUCGCAAGAUUAAAACUCAAAGGAAUUGACGG